AUGCAAGUCGAACGGCAGCGGGGGCUUCGGCCUGCCGGCGAGUGGCGAACGGGUGAGUAAUGCAUCGGAACGUGCCCAAGUCGUGGGGGAUAACGUAUCGAAAGGUACGCUAAUACCGCAUACGUCCUGAGGGAGAAAGCGGGGGAUUCUUCGGAACCUCGCGCGAUUGGAGCGGCCGAUGUCGGAUUAGCUAGUAGGUGAGGUAAAGGCUCACCUAGGCGACGAUCCGUAGCGGGUCUGAGAGGAUGAUCCGCCACACUGGGACUGAGACACGGCCCAGACUCCUACGGGAGGCAGCAGUGGGGAAUUUUGGACAAUGGGCGCAAGCCUGAUCCAGCCAUGCCGCGUGAGUGAAGAAGGCCUUCGGGUUGUAAAGCUCUUUCGGCCGGGAAGAAAUCGUGUUCUCUAACAUAGGACAUGGAUGACGGUACCGGACUAAGAAGCACCGGCUAACUACGUGCCAGCAGCCGCGGUAAUACGUAGGGUGCGAGCGUUAAUCGGAAUUACUGGGCGUAAAGCGUGCGCAGGCGGUUUUGUAAGACAGAUGUGAAAUCCCCGGGCUUAACCUGGGAACUGCGUAUGUGACUGCAAGGCUAGAGUACGGCAGAGGUGUGUGGAAUUCCUGGUGUAGCAGUGAAAUGCGUAGAUAUCAGGAGGAACACCGAUGGCGAAGGCAGCCCCCUGGGCCUGUACUGACGCUCAUGCACGAAAGCGUGGGGAGCAAACAGGAUUAGAUACCCUGGUAGUCCACGCCCUAAACGAUGUCGACUAGUCGUUCGGAGCAGCAAUGCACUGAGUGACGCAGCUAACGCGUGAAGUCGACCGCCUGGGGAGUACGGCCGCAAGGUUUAAACUCAAAGGAAUUGACGGGGACCCGCACAAGCGGUGGAUGAUGUGGAUUAAUUCGAUGCAACGCGAAAAACCCUUACCUACCCUUUGACAUGUCUGGAACCUUGCUGAGAGGCGAGGGUGCCUUUCGGGAGCCAGAACACAGGUGCUGCAUGGCUGUCGUCAGCUCGUGGUCGUGAGAUGUUGGGUUAAGUUCCGCAACGAGCGCCAACCCUUGUCCCUAGUUGCCAUCAUUUGGUUUGGCACUCUUAGUGAGAACUGCCGGUGACAAACCGUAGGAAGUGGGGUAUGACGUCAGGUCCUCAUGCCCUUAUGGUUAGGGCUUCCCACGUCAUACAUUGGCCGGUACAAAGGGGUGCCCAAGCGCAGGGGUGGACCAUCCUUAGGCGCAAUCGUACUCGGAAUCGGUAUUCCUGGGCAACUCA
rnacentral:rRNA from 1 species